UACGGAGGGUGCAAGCGUUGUCCGGAAUCACUGGGCGUAAAGGGCGCGUAGGCGGCUCAUGAAGGCUGUGGUGAAAGUCCGGGGCUCAACCUCGGAUCGGCCGUGGCGACUCGUGGGCUGGAGCACUGUAGAGGCGGGUGGAAUUCCGGGUGUAGCGGUGGAAUGCGUAGAGAUCCGGAAGAACACCAGUGGCGAAGGCGGCCCGCUGGCAGUGGCUGACGCUGAGGCGCGACAGCGUGGGAGCAAACGAGG
rnacentral:rRNA from 1 species